CAUCUUGGCGGUGCGUUUAAACGACCAGUAAAUACCCUCACAAAAGGCCUUCAGGCUGAAACUGUUUCCUGAACAAAGUGCAGACUCUUCCAGUAAUUCAGUAGCUUGAAGCCAAGUUUCCCUGUGUCCGACCUGCAGUCAGCACCACCAUUCAGAGGUGGCCACUGGGAUAGACUGGCUCACUGUUCAGUGUCCGGUUCUCUUCAUACUUUCAUGGGAGUCACUCUUCAUUCAAGCAAACAAGCCCCACUAUCGAUGACACGGGCUAACAGAGAGAGGGAAAAUGAAGCUGUGCGAUCUGCAUCUGCCGUCUGCCGCGCACGUACACAACAGCAAAUACAUCUCCACAAGUCGGAAGCAAGCAGGGCAACUAUCAGGACUCUCUGGUACAGCAGGCCUGAUACUAUCGUACUUGUUCCACUUUGGUCAAGGACAGAAGCACUCGGGCCUCCCCUCACCCAGUCUGUGGCUGGAUCUCUGCCUCACAGAUCUCCAGGGACAGAGGUUACAGAAGGACUCUAAAAUAAGUCUGAUGUGCUCUGCACAAUCAAUGGCUCAUCCACAUCUGGCCUAGUUUAGCUCUCACACAGUGAACUACGAUCAGCAAACGGCAUCCAAACACAUACAGAAGCCUCCCACCAGUGACUGCCUUCACCAGAUCUCAUUUAUCUUUCAUUUUCCAUCUUCCAUCUUUCUUUCGCUGUCGCAGUUCUUACAUGCAUGGUUUGGGAAUAGUUUACUUUAUGCAAUUAAAUUUGUUUUGUUUCU